GCUGGGCGUGGUGGCACAUGCCUGUAAUCCAAGCUACUCAGGAGGCUGAGGCAGGAGAAUUUCUUGAGCCCAGGAGAUGGAGGUUGCAGUGAGCUGAGAUCAUGUCACUGCACUCCAGCCUGGGCAACAGAGAGAGACUCUGUCUCAA
ensembl:misc_RNA Metazoa_SRP Metazoan signal recognition particle RNA